GUCCGCCUGCCCAGUGAUAUAUUUAACGGCCGCGGUAUUCUAACCGUGCAAAGGUAGCGUAAUCACUUGUCUUCUAAAUAAAGACCAGUAUGAACGGCUAAAUGAGGACAAAUCUGUCUCCUGCGACAAAUCAGUGAAACUGAUCUCCCAGUACAAAAGCUGGGAUAAACACAUAAGACGAGAAGACCCUGUGGAGCUUAUAAAUAAACGGUCAACAAUAACAACCAAAACAAUAAUGAUCGUACAUUUUAAGUUGGGGCGACUUCGGAAAAAAACAAAACUUCCGAGAAGAGGGCCACCAAACCCACCCUAAGGUAAACAAACCUAAAGCA
rnacentral:rRNA from 1 species